UACGUAGGGUGCAAGCGUUGUCCGGAAUUAUUGGGCGUAAAGAGCUCGUAGGCGGUCUGUCACGUCGGACGUGAAAAUCCAGGGCUCAACCCUGGACCUGCGUUCGAUACGGGCAGACUAGAGUUCGGUAGGGGAGACUGGAAUUCCUGGUGUAGCAGUGAAAUGCGCAGAUAUCAGGAGGAACACCGACGGCGUAGGCAGCGCCCUGGCCGUUUCCUGACGCUGAUGCACGAAAGCUGGGGGAGCAAACAGG
rnacentral:rRNA from 1 species